CCUACGGGAGGCAGCAGUGAGGAAUAUUGGUCAAUGGGCGGGAGCCUGAACCAGCCAAGCCGCGUGAGGGAUGACGGCCCUAUGGGUUGUAACCCUCUUUUGCCGGGGAGCAAAGUCCCGGACGUGUGCGGUUUGGCGUGUACCCGGAGAAAAAGCAUCGGCUAACUCCGUGCCAGCAGCCGCGGUAAUACGGAGGAUGCGAGCGUUGUCCGGAUGUAUUGGGUUUAAAGGGUGCGUGGGCGGACGGUUAAGUCAGCGGUAAAAGUGCGGGGCUAAACCCCGUUGAGCCGUUGAAACUGGGGGCCGUGAGUGGGCGAGAAGUACGCGGAAUGCGUGGUGUAGCGGUGAAAUGCAUAGAGA
rnacentral:rRNA from 1 species